rnacentral:rRNA from 1 species
UGAGGAACAUGACCUUCGGCGGGGGAUAGCCGGCCCAACGGCCGGGUAAUACCGCGUACGACCACAUGGGGACAUCCCUGAGUGGUGAAAGCAGCAAUGCGCCGAUGGAGUGCCUCGCGGCCUAUCAAGCUAGUUGGUGAGGUAACGGCUCACCAAGGCGACGACGGGUAGCUGGUCUGAGAGGAUGGCCAGCCACAGUUGGGACUGAGACACGGCCCAGACCUCGUACCGGGGAGG